rnacentral:rRNA from 1 species
CGCAAUGGCGGCCCAGCCUAGUUGCUCGGGCCACAUCUAGACUGAGGGUCGGUUGAAUUAUGAACGUCGUCACUAUUUUAGUGACCAUGUUGAGAUCCGGGCUCUUUUUUUUAAAAAGACCCGUGUCUUGAAAUUCAAAAGCCGAUAAGUUGUCUGAUUCACGGUUAAAAAAGUAUGGAACAAACGAAGCAGGUCUGAUGAGAGACUGGCUCCCCGUCUUCAAACUUUUUGACCCCGUCUCUGGCUCUCGAACGCCGGGCGUGUGUAACAACACUCCGCGUGCAGGGUCACCGGGGGUCAUUUGACCUGUCGACGGGCUCCGGCGCUUCUCCGCGGGGUAACAGGGUGGCCCAGUGCCACGUCCUACCCGGGGACCAAGAGGUGCCGGCGACUCAAGCCUCUCACAUCGCAUACAUAGACGCCUUCGACCGUUCUCAAACUUUGACCGACGUUCAGACCCACACAUUUCUGACCUCAGUUUAGGUGAGACUACCCGCUGAACUUAAGCAUAUCAGUAAGCGG